AGGACAGAAUAAAGUGGUUUGUUUAUUUUAUUAAAUAAGACACACACAUAUAUAAAAAUAAAAUGUAGAUUUUAAAGUGUACCUGCUGGUUACCUUUAUGUAGAAUGGUGGUAAAUCUUUAAGUGGCCUAUUUUACAAUAGCUUAAUUUCUUCUAGCAGUCCAUUUGUUCUUCCUCCCCAGCACCCUGAUGAUAUCCAAAAGGAAAAAAAAAAUGCUGAUAAUAAGAACUGUGGUUGUAACAAAAAAAAAGCAGCAGUAAGAUAACCACGGGCAAAGUGUUGCCUAAAAAAUUCUUCAUGUUUUUGAGCUAAUUACAUUUUAUAUUGCCAGUGACCUUUUGGAAGCCUCUUAUUUGCGCGGGUUGCAGAUGCCUCCAAAGGAAAUGCCUUUCUACAUAGAGAAAAUGCAUUCCAGUCAUCUCCUCAAACCAGAACACAGUUCUACUGCGUAGAACGUGCUGCUUUCUGAAAGAACUUUGCACAGUGGCUAUUCUGAAUGGCUGGAGAGCUGUCUCUGACAGAAGAGGAACACUUAGAUUGGGUUGUCUUACAGGAGUUCUUCUUGAAGGUGGGAGUUCUGUGUAUAAAUUGUGGCACGGGGACAUUUUUGAACUUAUAGAACAAGUAUUCAUUAAUAUUUUAAGUCAGAGAAAACUUGAAAUUCAUGCCAGAUCCCUUGGGAAAUUUGUGGCUCGGUGGCAAACCUGUGAAUGAGAAUGUGAGCCUUGUUUCAAAUGUUCCUGCAAGUAUAAAGCAGACAUCUCUCGGUUCUUGCAAGAUUUUAAUUUGGAAUUUUUUUCCUUUGUCUUAAGAUAACUCACUGCUUCCUUAAAUUAAUGCAGCUGCUCUUGAAUAGAAUACAGGAGAGAGGCUGAAGCUUCAGUAGUUUUUCUUUCUCCUUGGAGACUUUAGUCCAGCUCUUGAAUGAGAAAUGAAAGAGAGGAUAGGAGCAGCUCUCAUGGAUGCUGCGGCUGUCAUUAAGGCUGGCAGAAGUUAGUGUCCUUCUCCUUGUAAACCCAGCAGUCCUGCUCAGAUGUCAUCAGAUUUCAUUGGUUUUGAUGUUUUAAAAAUAAACUGAGUGGCUUUGAUUGACAUCUUUUGUUAGUGUGUACGGACCUCAAAGAAGUUCCUCAUGUCAGUAAAGAACUAAAUCGAGUCAAGGAGUCAGUGCAGGUGCUACCACAUUUGAUCAGUCAGGCUACUUUUUUGUUUUUUGUUUCCACAGUUCCAAAGGUCCUUCAAAGUUCCUGCUCUGAAUAGAGAUAAGAGCAGCAUUGUCUCUGCUGCAAGACAUUAACCUAUGUUCUAGGAACGUGCCCUGUUUAGAAUAGUGCUUGGGGCCUCGUGGAUUUGAAUCCCAAAAUGAGGUGUCCUUUAUUAACUAUGCCUCCCAAUGCAGAAAUUGAUUGUAGCAGAGACAAUUAAAGCUGACUGUAUCCAGUCCACUUCGUUUUGUUUGGUUCAGACAUCAAUCUUUCUAACCAACCAUCCAAAUCACCACCUGCCUACAAAAAGGUUUUUAUUAUUUAAGAGGGAAGACACUACUCUUGACUUAAACUGAUAAAGAAGCCAUUUAUGUAUUCUCAUUCUGGGAUUUAUAGAACUGUGUGCUCCUGGCUGUGUCAGGAGAGGCUUACAUGCAGGUCAGGUGGGGUGCAGGAAAUUGGAGAGAGGAAAAGGAGGUAGGGCAGGGCAGACAAAACAGGAUUUCUUAAAUCCUUUUUUUUUCUAGGAGGUGGCUGCUUGAGUAGCUGCAUGUUUCCACCUGGCCCAGAGGAGAUCCUCUCUGAAGCCUGAUAAACUGCUACUUGUGCUGCUUAUGAUGUCUGAUGUGGUACUUUUGUAAAGCAUUGCAGCUAUUUAAGGGAAACAGGACCAGGAUGGGAUUGGAGCUGAGGAGCCACUGUUAAGACUGGGUUGCAGAAGUGUUCAAAACUCAGCGUGCCUUCAAAGCAGCUGAAGCACAAAACUUGUAUGGCAUUGAGCAACUCUGUGUUCCAUUGAUGAAACAGCAUCCCAUUAUGAAAGUUGUGGGAGUCCUGAUGUGGAAGAACUCAGCAGUGUUAUAUGGCUCUGGGAUAGAUGACUGAUGCCCUGCCAUGGGCUUCUGCAUGCUUUGUGCACGUAGGAGCAGCAGAGGAUAGGAACAGUUGUGAGAACAGUUUUGUUUUUGCACCUUGACAAGAAUCUGUCACAACAACUUAAGUUUUAUAUCCUUGUUAAUUUACUGUUUUGCCUCAUGUGCCUUGAUGGCAAAUAAUCUGAAUGAGAGAGUAGGUAAGAUGGGGUGAAAUACAGAGCAACCUGAAAAUCAUGUUCUAACUCCAUCUUCCUCAGCAGAAAAGGGGUGGAGUGUGAAGGGAAGAGAGAAAGCACUACAGCAAAACCAGCCGCAGCUGAGCAGAGCCUGAUAUAAGAAAUGAGUAAAUCAUCAAUAUUUCAGAUCGUUGCUUUUAUAAACAAAUGUUAGGAAGUGAGAAUGGAAACCUGAGGAAACACCACGGAAGAGUGUGUGCUAAUGUCUCUCGAGUCCCUAGCUGGUAGGAGGAAAGGUUCUUUGAAUUUUGAAUGGAUUUAAAUUCCUUUUCAAUUUGCGGUCCUUGCUGUUCUGUGUAUAUUGUCCCUGGGAAGUGAGCAGAGAAUAAAACUCCUGUAUUUUUAUGCUUGGCUGGUUUUAGUGUUCUCCUAUAUUUUUCAGCUGUAAAUGUUGCAGACUUUAUUACCUUUAAACUGGUUUUAAUGUAGUAGGUCAUAAAACCUGAAUAACGAGAGGUAGUGUCCACUGCAGGUGUUUUUAGUGCAGAGAAGAUGCUUGGGAGUCACUGAAAGGCUUAAACUGAAACUCCAGGAUCAUCAUCUUAGGAAGACAGUUCAGAAAUAAGAAACCUGUCAUGGCUGAGAAUGAAUUUCAUUGUUAAAAUUCCUCCUUUUCCUUUCAUCUGAAUAGCUGGUUUAUGCUUUGAGACAUCAGCUCAAAUCUGAAGGGAGAAGAGAGGCUGCUUCAUUAAAAAGGUUCAGCAAAUUCUAUGUAUGUAGCAAUAUGUAGUUACAUGUGUGAUAUUAUAUGUAAUAGCUGAGACCCUUUGGAACUGACUGCUCAUUUGUAACCAGGAACGUGUAAAGGAGCUGUCACUGAAUUCUGAGCUGUGAGAGAUGUGUGUGUGUGUGUGCCAGUGUUAUUCCUGCAAGCUUUAAGCCAUUGAUGAGGGUUUUAUUGCUUUUCCUAGUGGAGCCAAAUGAUGACAACUGCUUGUCUGUGCCUUCCUACCUCACUUCUGAAGCAAAGGCCUUUCUUAGGGGAGAAGCAUGUGAGUGUCAGUAGAUCAGGGGCUCUGCCCGAACCAGGGCUGGGUUACAAACGUUGGAAUUAUGAGCAAUUCUGCUCUUUCUAUUAAUUGUGGUUACUUUUCCUGUGAUGAUAUGUGAUCCAUACUUCAAAGAUUUCAUCCCUCUGUUUCAAGCAGUCAGUUACCUCCUCUGCAUUGUAAAACUAAAAUAGCUUGAAGAGAGAUGUUAUUGGUGUAUGGUUUCACGGAUGUAUUUGACACCUCUUAACUCUUGAAUACAUGGCUUUGAAACUUCCCUCAGAGCGGGGAAAGCUUGGUCUCUGUGAUCUCCAUAUGGGUCAGAAUUUCAUUUAAUACCUCUUGACGUUAAAACUGUUUAAGAACUGGUGCUCGUGGUGUUGCCUGUUAGUUUAAUUCACUGAUUUCAUCACAGCUUAGUGGAUGUUAAAUGCUUCUGUAAAACAUUUAUGAUGAUUUCUGUGAGUCUUAACUUCAGCUAAUAGAUGCCACAAACUUUUAUCUCUUAGCAGUGACUCUGUACCAAGCUGUGCAUUCAGCACAGAGACAGAACCACAGAGGGGAGCUGGAGACAGACCAACCCUUCUUGGAGCCUUCAGCAUAUUAGAACAGGGACUAUUUGGUUUGCUGCUGCUUCUUUAAAAACAAAAACAGAGCAAGAAAAAAGUCUGUCAGUACUGAAACAAUGCCUUCAGUAGCAGUUGGUUAACAUGUUUUAAAA